rnacentral:lncRNA from 1 species
GAAAAAAAUAGGCAGUACAGGAGUUUUGAGUGAAAAAAAAGGCAGGAUGAGACAAUUGCCAAAAAAAAAGUCAGGACGACAAUUUAGUAAAAAAACAGUCAGGAUAAACUAAAAAAAAAAAAAAGAAAGGACCAAACAGAGUGAAAAAUAAAAAGGCAGGACAGAGAUUACAGCUAAAAAAAAAAUGCAGGACAAAAUUUUUCAUCCUAGCCCCCCCCCCAUAAAAAUCAAAUAGUAGCUCCCUUAG